GAUGAACGCUGGCGGCGUGCCUAAUACAUGCAAGUCGAGCGAACGGACGAGAAGCUUGCUUCUCUGAUGUUAGCGGCGGACGGGUGAGUAACACGUGGAUAACCUACCUAUAAGACUGGGAUAACUUCGGGAAACCGGAGCUAAUACCGGAUAAUAUUUUGAACCGCAUGGUUCAAAAGUGAAAGACGGUCUUGCUGUCACUUAUAGAUGGAUCCGCGCUGCAUUAGCUAGUUGGUAAGGUAACGGCUUACCAAGGCAACGAUGCAUAGCCGACCUGAGAGGGUGAUCGGCCACACUGGAACUGAGACACGGUCCAGACUCCUACGGGAGGCAGCAGUAGGGAAUCUUCCGCAAUGGGCGAAAGCCUGACGGAGCAACGCCGCGUGAGUGAUGAAGGUCUUCGGAUCGUAAAACUCUGUUAUUAGGGAAGAACAUAUGUGUAAGUAACUGUGCACAUCUUGACGGUACCUAAUCAGAAAGCCACGGCUAACUACGUGCCAGCAGCCGCGGUAAUACGUAGGUGGCAAGCGUUAUCCGGAAUUAUUGGGCGUAAAGCGCGCGUAGGCGGUUUUUUAAGUCUGAUGUGAAAGCCCACGGCUCAACCGUGGAGGGUCAUUGGAAACUGGAAAACUUGAGUGCAGAAGAGGAAAGUGGAAUUCCAUGUGUAGCGGUGAAAUGCGCAGAGAUAUGGAGGAACACCAGUGGCGAAGGCGACUUUCUGGUCUGUAACUGACGCUGAUGUGCGAAAGCGUGGGGAUCAAACAGGAUUAGAUACCCUGGUAGUCCACGCCGUAAACGAUGAGUGCUAAGUGUUAGGGGGUUUCCGCCCCUUAGUGCUGCAGCUAACGCAUUAAGCACUCCGCCUGGGGAGUACGACCGCAAGGUUGAAACUCAAAGGAAUUGACGGGGACCCGCACAAGCGGUGGAGCAUGUGGUUUAAUUCGAAGCAACGCGAAGAACCUUACCAAAUCUUGACAUCCUUUGACAACUCUAGAGAUAGAGCUUUCCCCUUCGGGGGACAAAGUGACAGGUGGUGCAUGGUUGUCGUCAGCUCGUGUCGUGAGAUGUUGGGUUAAGUCCCGCAACGAGCGCAACCCUUAAGCUUAGUUGCCAUCAUUAAGUUGGGCACUCUAAGUUGACUGCCGGUGACAAACCGGAGGAAGGUGGGGAUGACGUCAAAUCAUCAUGCCCCUUAUGAUUUGGGCUACACACGUGCUACAAUGGACAAUACAAAGGGCAGCGAAACCGCGAGGUCAAGCAAAUCCCAUAAAGUUGUUCUCAGUUCGGAUUGUAGUCUGCAACUCGACUACAUGAAGCAGGAAUCGCUAGUAAUCGUAGAUCAGCAUGCUACGGUGAAUACGUUCCCGGGUCU
rnacentral:rRNA from 1 species